UACGUGGGGGGCAAGCGUUGUUCGGAAUUACUGGGCGUAAAGGGCUCGUAGGCGGCCAACUAAGUCUGAUGUGAAAUCCCCAGGCUCAACUUGGGAACUGCAUCCGAUACUGGAUGGCUUGAAUUCGGGAGAGGGAUGUGGAAUUCCAGGUGUAGCGGUGAAAUGCGUAGAUAUCUGGAGGAACACCGGUGGCGAAGGCGGCAUCCUGGACCGACAUUGACGCUGAGGCGCGAAAGCCAGGGGAGCAAACGGG
rnacentral:rRNA from 1 species